CGGGAGCGAGAGGAGCAGGAGCGGGUGCAGCAGAGGGAGAUGUAUGGUUGGAGCUGUGGGGCGAAGGGGAAUCCUGAAAAUGGCUGGAAUCCCGAGACUGGCUCCCCGUACCACCACGACCACGACGCUGUCGAGGCCAGAUCUGAUCAUCAUAAGACCUGUAAAUUAAAAAAAAAUAUAUUUAAUAAAUACAGAAAUAUAUAAAUUAUUUUUUUUAAAAAAAAAGUCUCAAAUAGGGGUAAAGAACAAAUUUUAGACUUCAUAAUUAACGUAAGACACUUAAUAAGGGUUAUAUAGGUGUUAUUCAAACCGCAAAACGUUGUUUUCGGUUUAAAACCCCUAUUUCCUCGGAAUUUCCUCAGACUAUUCCGAGGGAAUCCGAGGAAACCCUUUUCUUCCUCGUAAUUCCGUCGGAAUAUUCCGAGAAAUUUCCGAGGAACUAGUGUUUGGGGUUUCAAUCUUGUACGUUUUUUUAUAAACGAAUCGAUCGAUGAGUUUUUUGUACAAAACACAUCGAUCGAUCACCAGAUGGACGAAAGCCGUAAGAAUGUGAUCGAUCGAUUAGAUUAUACCAUCGAUCGAUCGAACAAAAUCUCAAAGGUUCCUCGGAAUUCCCUCGGAAUAUUCCGAGGAAAUUCCGAGGAACUAGUGUUUGGGGAUUCAAUCUUGUACGUUUUUUUCUAAACGGAUCGAUCGAUGCGUUUUUGUACAAAAACGCAUCGAUCGAUCACCAGAUGGACGAAAGCCGUAAGAAUGUGAUCGAUCGAUUAGAUUAUACCAUCGAUCGAUCGAACAAAAUCUCAAAGGUUCCUCGGAAUUCCCUCGGAAUAUUCCGAGGAAAUUCCGAGGAACUAGUGUUUGGGGAUUCAAUCUUGUACGUUUUUUUAUAAACGGAUCGAUCGAUGCGUUUUUGUAGAAAAACGCUUCGAUCGAUCACCAGAUGGACGAAAGCCGUAAGAAUGUGAUCGAUCGAUUAGAUUAUACCAUCGAUCGAUCGAACAAAAUCUCAAACGUUCCUCGGAAUAUCCUCAGAAAAUCUUGUACGUUUUUUUAUAAACGGAUCGAUCGAUGCGUUUGUGUUGAAAAACAGAUCGAUCGAUCACCAGAUGGACGAAAGCCGUAAGAAUGUGAUCGAUCGAUCGAACAAAAUCUCAAGCGUUCCUCGGAAUAUCCUCGGAAAAUCUCUUACGUUUUUUAUAAACGGAUCGAUCGAUGUGUAUAUGUACAAAAACGCAUCGAUCGAUGCGUGUGGGGGAACAGAAUUAUAAGGCAAAACCCGAACUUUUUGGAUCAAAACCUCAGAACUAUCAUACCCUCCGAUUUUCCCUAUAAUCAUCCGAUUUGAACAAUUUUGGGCUCUAUUCCCCUUGAUUUUUCGAGCUCUACAUGAUUCCUACACUUGUUUUCACCCUAAGACAGGUAUACUCCGCGAAUCUCCACAUUCUCAAAUCGUGUUCUUGAGCAAUUUUUUGGGUUUUGUGAAUUUCUUAUUUCCGUGUUGAUUCCUUGAUCAAAUAUGCAUGAAACAAAUGUUUAAACAUGGAAUAGAACACAAUUGUCUGUGAUCAACGAGUUUGGAACAGGAUUUGAGAUGAUUUAGGGAUUGAGAAUUUUUUUCAAUUUGGUUUUUUUUAAUCACAACUCGAUUUCGCCUUUCAUUUUCAUGUUGAUUUGAGUUCUUAAUUGAUUAUAACCAUGUUGAGAGCAAUGAUUCUAUUUUGUAGAGAAUGAAGCGCACGAAAACAUCAGCAAAGAAAAACACACAAGAAGCGGGUUCGUCACAGCUGGAGAAGCAAAGGCCAAAGAAGUGGGAUAAGUCUGAUACCACCCACUACAACAACAUGAAGAAGGUAGCCGUUCCGGCUACACAACUAGCAUGUCCUGAGACGAUGACAAUAUUGGGAAUCAAAGCAGACAUUGAAGGACUGUUCCAGAACAUGGGUCUAGGCCAACUAUGCAACCUCAAGGAACCCACUUAUCCGGAGUUGGUACGCCAGUUCAUAGCAUCCGCAUACGUCACCCGUCCCGAUGAUAGCCAUCAGGAAGGUUUUCUGGCAUUCGUAGUGCAGAAAGUAUACUAUGAGGUAUCUUUCACAGACCUCUGCGGACUAUUUGGAUUGAGUGCGGGGGAGAGGACAUAUGGUCUUUAUUGGACUUCAGAGCUGUUGAACUUCUGGGAAACGAUUGGCACAGGGGUUUAUAGAUCUUCUCAGGCAAAGGAGUCACUUAUCCGGAGCCCAGUACUGAGAUAUGCCACACGCCUCAUUGGCUCAUUGCUAUACGGGACAACCACAGCCGCAUCAGUCACGCAAUGGGAGUUGUGCCUCCUGUACCAAGGUGUGAGGCAUUUGCUACCGGCAUUUGGAAACUCUACAUUCCCACCUGCUACUGCCUUCAACAUGGGAGCGGUGCUGGCCGCAAACUUAGCAGGAUACAAGGGGAAAGUAACCAAAUCCAAGAGCAAUGCAUGUGGAUUUGGUGCAGUGAUUACUCGGAUCCUUAGACAUGUGGGUGUAGACUGUGAGAACCACCAGGUAGCACUGGACAGAUCGAACAACAUUGCUUGGAACUACCUGGAUGUCAUUUCUCUAGUAAGUAAGGAGUUCAUAGCUGGUCCCCACUCGAGGAUCGAUCGGGAUGGUCCUUACGUCUACGUAUUCCAGGACCGAGCGAAGAAAACACUCUACUGCCACCUGCCUCAGAUCGGCCUGACUGCUCUACUUUCAGAGGCUGCAGUUGAGUUCCUACCCCCUGCUACCGCACUAGUAGACAAGCCAUCCUUCUUCACGCCAAAAUAUCAGACCAAAGGCAAGGGCGUGGUUGAUGAAGAAGGACAAGAUGAGGCUGCACAAGCCAUUCCAGAUGAUUCACAACCCCAUCAGCUACUCCCAUCAGACUCCAGCCAGUACAAGCUGCAAGAGCUUCCACCGAACGCCACUUCGCGCCAGCAACAACAUUGGAGAGAUCAGAGCAUAAAGACAAACAACGACAUGCUACACAAGAUCUGGGCUGCCAUUUCACGUAUCAGGCCGUGUCGUUGCCAAAAGGAUGAUGUAGUUCAUCGGGACAACUCUCCAUCCAGCUCUGGUUCGGGUUCGAGUGGUACACACAGGGUAAGAAAGAGGUCCAAGAGACCCAACGAUGCAGGAACAUCUGGAGCAGGAGACGAGGAGUAGGAGCUAUCACCGGCUAUUUUAUUUUCUUUUCUAUUCUAACGUUUUAUGGUCUUAUUUUCUGUUAAUUUUGAACUGAGUUUUUUUUUUGGUUUCUUAAUUAUGAGUUCGUAUUUCUUUUACAUGGUUUCUUCGUUUUAUUUGGUUGUGUUUUGAGUAGUUUUUAAUUCGUAUUCAGCUUUGCCUUGCUAGAUAAACCAAAUAACUAUUAUCCGAGGAAAGAGGUUAUAUCAAGUGUUCCUCGGAAUUUCCUCGGUAUUUCUUUAAAAAAAAAAAAAAAUAAGUUCAAUGGUAGUCUGUUUCCGAGUCAUCAUCACCAGAUGAAUCUGAAUCUGGAUCUUGGUGAAACUCUCCAAUCACUGGUUCAUCCUCUACGUGAACGACGGCUUCCUCUCCAAAGUCGGUUAAAUCGACUACAAGGCCAACUCCAGCUAAAUCUUCUGCUGCACUUAAGUUGCCGGAUGUGCUUGGUUGUAGUGGGUCUUCCAGCUCAGAACUUCCCUGAACUCGGCCUCUCGGGUUGAGUCUUGUAACAGUAACCCAUGGAUCAUCUCUGUUCCUUACCCGGGGGUACUUGAUAUAACAAACCUGUAACAUUUAGAAAAAUUAUAAAUUAAUACACAUGAUGAUGAAUCAUUCUGAAUAAUUAACAUUUAAUUACCUGAUCGGCCUGAGAAGCAAGAAUGAAAGGAUCAUAAUAUUGCAGCUUUCGCCUCGAAUUUACUGAUGUAACACCAAAUGCAUCUGUUCUCACACCUCGAUCUGGAGUGUUGUCGUGCCAAUCACAAUAGAAAACAGUACAGCGCAAUCCAACCAUGCCCAAAUACUUGAUUUCCAAAAUCUCAUGUAUGUGUCCGUAGUAUACAUCAUCUCCUGAUGCAGAACAAACGCCAGCAUCAUAAGUCGUACUCGAACGUCUCCUCUUCUGAGUUGUGAAUGCAUCUCCUCGAGUACAAAAUCUCGGAUAUGACUUCACAACAAAGUUUGGUCCAACGACCAUCUCACGUAUCCAAUCGUCAAAUGUUUCACCUCUGGCCAAACCAGCAGACACCUAUUAAUAGCACAUAUAUAUGUUAUAUCAAUAAAUGUGAAUUAGUAUAAAUAUGUGAUAAAUGAUAUUUUAAUUUGUUUAAAGCACUCACAUAAAUAAAAAUCCAUCUAGCAAAUUCUCUCUGCUUCAUUUCUUCUAGUUCGUCCUCUGUAGCGUAUCUAUAUUCGAACCGCUUUUCUGCCAUGAAAAUCCUGUAAAUAUGAUGACAAUAAUGUAAUUAAUUAAGAUUUAAAUUUCAACUUGUUAAAAUAAAAAUUUGUCAGCUAAUUUAUUUACCUCUCAUAUUGAAGAACAUCUUCGCAGUUGGUGAGCAAAUAUGUUUGCAAAUGACUGCGCUCCUGCUAAGUAAGUCGACGGUCCUUUGGUUUUCCGCUAAGUCGCCCAACGUCUGUGAAAAUGUCUGGAACCGUAACAGGAUAUGUUGCCCGUUCGCCUCUAUCAUCAUGCCGAGCAGGUCUUCUGUUUUUGGUCUGAACUUCUGCUGGAAAGUAGUACUCGGCAAAGUUUGAAGUUUCUUCAUUGAUCAUCUGUGCGACUAUAGAACCUUCCACCCUACUUAAAUUUUUCACCAUCUUCUUCAAAUGGAACAUAUACCGCUCAUACAGAUACAUCCAUCUAUACUGCACAGGACCACCAAGUUCCAAUUCUCUUGCCAGGUGAAUAACAAGAUGCUCCAUAACAUCAAAAAAUGAGGGAGGAAAUAUCUUCUCAAGGUUGCACUGAAUCACGGCUAUGUUAGUCUUCAAAUUUUCAAUACCUUCAAGAGUCACUGAUCUCGUGCAUAAAUCGCGGAAGAAACCACUUAUCCCUGCAAUUGCUUCAUGAACAUUUCGUGGUAAUAGUUCCUUGAAGGCGAACGGAAGGAGGCGCUGCAUCAUUACAUGGCAAUCGUGGCUUUUCAAGCCAGUAAACUUUCCUUCCUUUCUGUCGAUACAGUUACGCAAAUUUGAUGCGUAACCGUCUGGAAAUUCCACAUCGUUUGAAAUCCAAUCAAAGAACGCAUCUUUUCCCGCUGCAUCAAGUCGGUAUAUGGGAAAAGGAGCCCUACCAUUCUCAUCAACAUGAAGUUCUGAACGAGCACAUAUAUCGACUAAAUCCAGUCUUGACUUCAAAUUAUCCUUUGUUUUACCUUGAACAUUAAGGAUCGUGUUCAUGAGAUUGUCAAAAUUUUUUUUCUCAAUAUGCAUGACAUCUAAAUUAUGCCUUAGCAGAUGAUCCUCCCAGUAUGGCAGAUCCCAGAAAAUACUUUUUUUGUGCCAGUUAUGUAGUUCUCCAACAGCAUCUACCGGAAAACGCUCAUGUCCACCGACUUCUGGCGUCCUUUCUGCACCAAAAUCUCUUAGUUGUAUCUUCAAAUCUUUCCCACAAAUUUCCGGAGGUGGACUGUCAAACACCCUCUUGUUCUUCGUAAACAAAUUCCUACUCCUACGAUAUGGAUGAUCAGGUGGUAGGAAUCUCCUGUGACAGUCAAACCAACACGUUUUCCUUCCGUGUUUUAGUUGGAAAGCAUCAGUGUUAUCUUGACAAUAUGGACAUGAUAGCCUUCCAUGCGUUGUCCAUCCAGACAACAUACCAUAUGCUGGAAAAUCACUUAUUGUCCACAUUAGUACUGCCCGCAUUUGAAAGUUUUCUUUACACGAAACAUCGUAUGUUUCAGCACCUUGAGCCCAUAGUUGUUGCAACUCAUAUAUUAGUGGCUGAAGAAACACAUCAAGUGAUCUCUUAGGAUGCUCUGGUCCGGGAACGAGAAUCGAGAGAAACAAAAACUCUCGUCGCAAGCACAAGUUUGGGGGUAGGUUGUAUGGUGUAAGAAUGACGGGCCAUAGAGAAUACUGUCUUCCACUCUUGCCAAACGGACUGAAACCAUCAGUACAUAAUCCAAGGUAGACAUUUCUUCUCUCAUACGCAAAGUCGGGAUACUUUGAUUGGAAAUGCUUCCACGCUUUUGCAUCUGAAGGAUGUCUGAUCUCACCAUCUGUUGAGUGCUCCGCAUGCCAUCUCAUUGGUUGCGCUGUGCGUUCAGACAGAUACAACCUCUGCAACCUUUCCGUCAAAGGUAAAUACCACAUCCUUUUAUAUGGCACUGGAACUCUUCCACUCGUAUCUUUAUAACGAGGCUUUCCACAAAAUUUGCAUGUAACCCGCUGUUCAUCCGCCCUCCAAUAAAUCAUGCAGUUGUCGCUGCAUACAUCUAUUACCUGAUACGAUAAACCAAGACCAGCUACGAGUUUCUGAACCUCGUAGUAUGAACCAGGAGCUACAUUAUCCUCGGGUAGAAUACCUUUUACAAAAUCAGCAAUCGCAUCCACACAGUCUUCAGCCAAAUUAUAAUCUGUUUUAAUGCCCAUCAAUCUUGUAGCAGAUGAUAAAGCUGAAUGACCAUCUCUGCAACCUUCGUACAAUGGUUGCUUUCCAGCAUCCAACAUAUCAUAAAAUCUCCUAGCUUCUGCAUUGGGUAAAUCUUCCCCUCUAAAAUGAUCAUUUACCAUCUGCUCAGUACCUACACCAUAAUCUACAUCCGUUCUAAUUGGUUCUUCUAAUCUAACCGCUGGCUGAGGUUCGCUAGUACUACCAUGUUCAUAAUCAGUUUCCCCAUGAUGAUACCAAAUUUUGUAACUUCGUGUAAACCCACUCAAAUAUAGAUGAGUCCAAACAUCCCACUCUUUAAUAACCUUUCUAUUUUUACAAUUAGAGCAAGGACAUCUUAACUUACCUGUUUUUGCUUCCGGUUGUCGGUGAACUAACCCCAUGAAUUCGGUUAUACCUCGUUGGUAUUCUUCCGUAAGCAAUCUCGUGUUCGGAUCCAAAUGAGGUCGAUCGAUCCAAGAACGAAAAUAAUUUGAAGAAGACAUAUUUUUUAUGAAUCAAAUUCGUGUGUAAAUAGAGUAAGAGGGAGGAUGAAGAUAUGAAGUCAAUGAAGAGGAAGAGGAGUGAUUGUAUUUAUAGGUUAAAUCCUGCCGACAGACCGAGGAAAUUCCGACGGAAUUCUGACGCCAACGGUUAGUUAGUCGGAAUUUCCUCGGAAUUUUGUAAAAUCCCCAAACGGCUCUCCAACGGCUAUAAUAUUUCCUCGGAAUUUAUCGGUGAAUAUUCCGACGGAUUGAUAUUUCCUCGGAAUUCCGUCGGUAUAUUCCGAGGAAAUUCCGAGGAAACUAAAUUUUGUGUUUCCUCGGAAAUUCCUCGGGAUAUUCCGAGGAUUUCAUUUUCCGUCGGAAUGUCCGUCAGAAUAUCGCUGUUUUCUUGUAGUGUGUGUCAUAGUCGUCUCCGUCUAGGGGAACCCUCCCUUCUCUCAUUCUCAUGGUCAUUCUUAGAUAUGCUAGAUCCAAAGUCCCUCACUUCUGGUAGUUUCCUUUGCACUUCUCGGUAGUAGCUUCUUUCAGGGAGGGCUGGGAGGUUUCUCUGAUAUGGAUAAUGAUGCUCAUGCGAGGUGCGAUUCGAUCUUGCAUUCUCAUAGGUCAAUCUCUCUUUGGAACUGUAGGUUCGGCGGCACAUACCUCUUUCCUGCCAAGUUCUAGUCUGAGAUUUGUACUCUAUGUGGUGUUGUCUUUACUUAAAUUCAUUGUUGUAUCUCCUUUGCUGUUCAGGUGCAUUAUUUGCGGCCAAGAAUUGGAAAGCCGCCUGGCCCCUCAUUUCCAAAUCUCUCUCCUUCUGGUUGUUUGGCGCUGAACCUAAAGAUGCUCCUCUAAUGGACUAAGAUUCCUGAGCUGAGUUGUGGGAGGGUCUGCCUUCUUUAACUUCAGUUUCACGGGUAGCUUUCAAUGCCUUUGCUUCCACUCUAGCCACCAGGCAUUCCUUUAACUCGUGGUCUAAUCGUAAGCACUUAAUGCAGUGCUUAUCCAAGCGUUCAUAGACCACCGUAGUAGUGACUUCAUCUCCAUUAGGAAAUUCAACAACAGAGGUUGUGAUCAAAGGUAUCAAUCCAUUAACAUGAACACACAUCCUAGCUGAGAGCCUAGUGAUUUCCGCUUUUUCAUGUAUUCCUAUAUCCUUUCCAAUGCAUUCGAUCGUCUCCUCCGUCCACAGAUGAACGGGCAAGCCUUGGACUUUAAUCCAAAAUGGAAUUAGAGAUGGGGAAGUGGGGGACACAGUCGGUUCCCACCUCUGUAGAAUGACCAGCCAUCUAGCAUAAUGGUAUGGUCUCUGCUCCAACACAGCCAGCAGGUCUGAUUCCAAGUCAAACUGAAAUUGGAAUAAACCAUUACCCAAAUCCGCUCCUACUGGUUUAAAUUCCGUUUUCCAGUGUUCCGUGAAGAAUGGGAUUAAAGAUCACACUUUCUAAGCUGAUUUGUUUGUGACUUUCUCUAUUAGGGUCAAAAAGUGUUUGCGCAAUAGCUCUGUAUUAUCAGGUUGAGGGACUCUUACACGCGCUGUGCGGGGAGGUUGAAGUUCCCCCAUUUUCAAACCCCUUCCCUUCUCAGCUGCUGAAAGUCUUCGGUAAGCCAUAUCUUCCUUUCUCGUGAGGGAUUCCCCUGAACGCGAUGUUAAGCGGUGACUGAGAUUGAUUGUGUGUUGGACUUCAGCUGAUGCCUUUGGGAUCCAGUUAUACUCGAAAUACCAGCGUGUGCGAACCGAGAUUCCGUUUAUCAGAUACCAGAAAUCCCCAGUAUACUGAAGUGGCAACGCUGAGGACGGUUUCAAAGGUCCUGUUUCCUCUGUUCCCAACUCAAAUUGAGCUCAAAAGCCGGUAGAAGCUUCAUCUCGAGAGAGUAUGCUCGUUCCGGAGUGAAGCUGUGGAGAAGCUGCGGUCCCUCCGACCAUGGUCGGGGGAAGAACCCGGUGGAUAUUCCGGCAAGGCGACGCACGGACCAAGGGGAUAAACCCAAUCAGGUAAGAAAUUAAAAAAAAACGGAGUUAAAACUGUCGGUUAAAAGCCCGCCUCUAGAUUUACUUUCUACGACCUCGCGGUUAAAAAAGCAAACCUUGGUAAUAGUGCCUGAGACAAUCAAUCUGUCGUCAUGAUCUUAAGUUCGUCACCGUUGGCAAGCUGAGAAGAUGACAGUCUCAAGCUUUCUGGUCGUCACGGUCUCAACUUCGUCGCAGUUGUCAAGCUGAGAGGAUUUGGAUCUCUUACACUGUUUCUUUUUCAGUUGAAGCGAUGGUGGCUGAAGCGUUGAUGAUGGCUGAAGCGUCAAGGGUGCGGUGGAAGAGGAGGACGAUAACUUAGUUUUAGGUUUAGUUAUGUUUUUUUUGUCGGCUGUUUUUUUU
rnacentral:lncRNA from 1 species